rnacentral:misc_RNA from 1 species
AUGAACCAUCAGUGGUCCAUCAAGUGCUUGGAGCAAAAUGGGUGGAAUUACGAGAAAUCAGGAGAAAUAUUUUUGGAGCUACAGAAACAAAACAAGAUUCCUCCAGAGGCUUUUACCAAAUGAGAAUCACCUCAACUCACAUUAGGAAUCACAGUUCAUUAUUCCAGUAAUUCAGUGAAGCAUGUGUAUGGCCAGUUGAAGUAAACUGACAGUUGUUAAUGAAAGUUACGCUCCCAAACAUUAUUUCUCUGAUGCCAAGUGAAAAAUGAAACACCAAUCCAGGACAUUUUACCGAUUUUAUACUUCAUACUGUGAGCAUCAUCUGAUGCAAGUGUUAUAGUAAAUAUGAUGGUCAGCUAUCUCAGCUGUGUACUGUUUUAUGUCCAUGGAGCUCUUUGUUUUAUUGGGUGAUUAGACUUGGAUGAGUUCCAGUUUUAAUGUUUUUACAAUUGAUCGAUGUUUAUUUUGAUUGUAAAUCAAGGAAUAAGUGUUGGGAAAAAGUUGGAAAUAAAAGUGCUCAUUUGUUUUACAUGUACUGUCACUUUUUAUUUUUAAAGCAAUGUAUUAUUUUUUACAAACAUAGAGAUUUCAUCGCUGUUUAAUAAAACAAAUAUGAGAAG